AUUCAGCUGAGGAGUCCCUAAUAGGACGAAACACGUAUCCUGGAU
rnacentral:hammerhead_ribozyme from 1 species